rnacentral:rRNA from 1 species
AGAGUUUGAUCCUGGCUCAGGACGAACGCUGGCGGCGCGCCUAACACAUGCAAGUCGAACGGAGCUUAGAGAGCUUGCUUUUUAAGCUUAGUGGCGAACGGGUGAGUAACGCGUGAGUAACCUGCCCUAGAGUGGGGGACAACAGUUGGAAACGACUGCUAAUACCGCAUAAGCCCACGGUGCCGCAUGGCACUGAGGGAAAAGGAUUUAUUCGCUUUAGGAUGGACUCGCGUCCAAUUAGCUAGUUGGUGAGGUAACGGCCCACCAAGGCGACGAUUGGUAGCCGGACUGAGAGGUUGAACGGCCACAUUGGGACUGAGACACGGCCCAGACUCCUACGGGAGGCAGCAGUGGGGGAUAUUGCACAAUGGGGGAAACCCUGAUGCAGCGACGCCGCGUGGAGGAAGAAGGUCUUCGGAUUGUAAACUCCUGUUGUUGAGGAAGAUAAUGACGGUACUCAACAAGGAAGUGACGGCUAACUACGUGCCAGCAGCCGCGGUAAAACGUAGGUCACAAGCGUUGUCCGGAAUUACUGGGUGUAAAGGGAGCGCAGGCGGGAAGACAAGUUGGAAGUGAAAUCCAUGGGCUCAACCCAUGAACUGCUUUCAAAACUGUUUUUCUUGAGUAGUGCAGAGGUAGGCGGAAUUCCCGGUGUAGCGGUGGAAUGCGUAGAUAUCGGGAGGAACACCAGUGGCGAAGGCGGUCUACUGGGCACCAACUGACGCUGAGGCUCGAAAGCAUGGGUAGCAAACAGGAUUAGAUACCCUGGUAGUCCAUGCCGUAAACGAUGAUUACUAGGUGU